rnacentral:rRNA from 1 species
CUACGGGUUGCAGCAGUCGAGAAUCUUCCGCAAUGGACGAAAGUCUGACGGAGCGACGCCGCGUGCGGGAUGAAGGCCUUCGGGUUGUAAACCGCUGUCAGUGGGGAGGAAAUGCAUCAGGGUUCUCCCUGGUGUUUGACCGAUCCGCAGAGGAAGCGCAGGCUAAGUUAGUACCAGCAGCCGCGGUAACACGAACUGCGCGAACGUUAUUCGGAAUCACUGGGCUUAAAGAGUUCGUAGGCGGCCUUUCAAGUCGGGUGUGAAAUCCCUCGGCUCAACCGAGGAAUUGCGCCUGAUACUGUUGGGCUUGAGGGGGAUAGGGGUGAGCGGAACUGAUGGUGGAGCGGUGAAAUGCGUUGAUAUCAUCAGGAACACCGGUGGCGAAGGCGGCUCACUGGAUCUCUUCUGACGCUGAGGAACGAAAGCUAGGGGAGCGAACGGGAUUAGAUACCCGUGUAGUC